CAAUAGCGUAUAUUAAAGUUGUUGCGGUAAAAAAGCUCGUAGUUGGAUUCCUACCGAAGAUAGCCGGUCGGGUCUUCGACCUUGUAUCUGGUUUUGUCUUUGGUAUCCUCAUAGGGAACGUUUCUGCGCUUUAUUGCGUGGUGCGGUAUCUAUGACUUUUACUUUGAGGAAAUUAGAGUGUUCACGGCAGGCAAACGCCUUGAAUAUAUUAGCAUGGAAUAAUAACAUAGGAUCUUCGUCCUAUUUUGUUGGUUUCUAGGGCUAAGAUAAUGAUUAAUAGGGAUAAUUGGGGGCAUCUGUAUCAACGCGUCAGAGGUGGAAUUCUUGGAUUGCGUUGCGACAAACUACUGCGAAAGCAUUUGCCAAGGAUGUUUUCAUCGA
rnacentral:rRNA from 1 species